rnacentral:rRNA from 1 species
CCCUUAGAUGUUCUGGGCUGCACACGUGCUACACUGGCAGGUUCAGCGAGCUUCAUGCCCUGAUCUGAAAGGAAUGGGAAAUCUUUUCAAAACCUGCCGUGCUUGGGAUAGAUGUUUGCAAUUAUUCAUCUUCAACGAGGAUUGCCUUGUAAGCGCACGUCAUCAGCGUGCAUUGAAUACGACCCUGUAUUCUGUACACACCGCCCGUCGCUCCUACCGAUUGAAGUUUUCGGUGAGUUGACAGGAGGAUUUUUUUGAAACUGGUUCGCCAGUGGAUUUUAGAUCCAAAUGCCAACGAAUCAAUGGCUUUAGAGGAAGGAGAAGUCGUAACA